rnacentral:rRNA from 1 species
UACGGGGGGAGCAAGCGUUGUUCGGAUUUACUGGGCGUAAAGGGCGCGUAGGCGGCCACCGCAAGUCAAUUGUGAAAUCUCCGGGCUCAACCCGGAACGGUCAACUGAUACUGCGGGGCUAGAGUGCAGAAGGGGCAACUGGAAUUCUUGGUGUAGCGGUGAAAUGCGUAGAUAUCAAGAGGAACACCUGCGGCGAAGGCGGGUUGCUGGGCUGACACUGACGCUGAGGCGCGAAAGCUAGGGGAGCGAACGGG